GAAACGUUUGAAAUGACUUAAAAAACACCUUUUGUUAGCCAGGUACUUUUCAAAUUUCUAAAAGACGUCAAAACUCUAAUAUUGUUCAAGCUAGGUUGUCUACCCCAAGUACUUCGGAUAACCUAGUAACGCCUGAUGAAGUUACUCACUCUAGACUGCAUAGUUGUUCCACAGGUUAAAAAUUUACUAGGCAAAAAUGGUUGUAUGUGGAAAACUUAACCUAAAAAGAGACGAAAAAUACCAUCCAUAAAUAUUGUUCAUGUGAGACCACAUCUAACACAAGAGGCUGAGGAAUUGCUACAACACACUUUCAGUGAUUUUUCCCUGAUACACUUUUAAACAAAGUCUUAUUUUACACAAAUCAGAAUAUUAUUUGGCAAGGGGGAAAUACCAUUAUGUAGUCAAACUUAUAUAUGACUGAACUUCAUAAGUCACAAGAAAUAUUUCGGUUGCAAAGUACACCCAACAUUAAUCGAAGCUUAAAGAGAACAAUUGAAAAAG